CCUGUGUGGGUGAUAUGCCCUCUCCACCCACCAGUCAUCCCAGAAGGUGUGUCUUCGGAAGGGAGGAUACAUCAGUCAACAAGCUGGGAGCUUGUCAGUGCUAGAAGGUGCUUUAGGGAGUCACUUAAUCCAGCCUCCUCUGCUAUGCAAGAGGAAAUGGAGGCCCAGAGAGGGGAAGCACCUGCCCAAGGUCACACAGCCCUACUGCUGGUUUCAGUGACCUUCACCAUGUGCACUCUACCUGUGGGGGAGAAACUCCAGGGGUGGGAGUAGUCAGCCCAGGAUGGCUUCUCUGAGGUAGAGUUAGGAGGCCAAGACUGCAGUCCUUGAGAAAAGCUUAUGACAACUACACAGCUCAUGGGAAUCCAGGGUCUGGGCCAUAUACAUUUGGUCUAAUCUGGACUUUGCCAAAUGCACUGGUGGACACUCAUCUCUGUCCCCACCCACCCCCACCAAAUCCCUGCCCUCAUUCCUGGGAGCCCCAGAGUCACAGCCGGCUGCCUUCCCCAAACCAAGCUUGGUGCAGAAUACAAGUCCCCACUUUGUCCCAGA